AAAACUGCUUUGGGUGGACACCUAGGUACUCAGAGACGAUGAAGGGCGUAGAAACCAACGAAAAGCUUUGUGGAGCUGGAAACAAGCUAUGAAUCAAAGAUUCCCGAAAUAGGGCAACCUUUAAAACUUCUCGAUGAAUUCAUAAUCGAGAAAGAGACAACCUGAUGAAUUGAAACAUCUUAGUAGUCAGUGGAAAAGAAAACAAAUAUGUGUAUUCUCUUAGUAGCGGCGAGCGAAGAGAGAGUAGUCUAAACCAAUUUAGUUGGUGUUGUGGGAUAAUAACAUCAGAAAAACUAUUAAUCAAAAUGAAACAGCUGAAUCCUGUACCAAAGAUGGUGAUAGUCCAGUAAUAAAAGAUUUUCUUAGUUUUUUCUAAUUGUCCCGAGUAGCAUGGGGUAUGUGGAAUACCGUGUAAAUCAACGAGGACCACCUCGUAAGACUAAAUACUCCUGAGUGACCGAUAGUGAAGUAGUACCGUCAGGGAAAGGUGAAAAGAACCCCUUUAGGGGAGUGAAAUAGAAUAUGAAACCUUAAGUUAACAAGAUGUAGGAGGGAAAAUUAAACCUGACUGCUUGCCUGUUGAAGAAUGAGCCGGCGACUUAUAAAUUGUGGCUUGAUUAAAGACUAAUAAAUUUUUCUGUAGUCAAAGCGAAAGCGAGUUUGAAUCAAAGCGUAUUAGUCACUGUUUAUAGACUCGAACCCGAGUGAUCUAACCAUGACCAGAGUGAAGCUUAGGUAAAACUGAGUGGAGGCUCGAACUGACCGAUGUUGAAAAAUCGGCAGAUGAGUUGUGGUUAGCGGAGAAAUUCCAAUCGAACUCGGAGCUAGCUAGUUCUCCCCGAAAUGUGUUGAGGCGCAGCGAUGAUUGAAGGAUUGUUGAUAGGGGUAAAGCACUGUUUCGGUGCGGGCUGUGAAAACGGUACCAAAUCGAUGCAAACUCAGAAUACUAUCCAUAUUUUCCAAUCAUUAGUGAGACUGUGGGGGAUAAGCUUCAUUGUCAAGAGGGAAACAACCCAGACCAUCGAUUAAGGCCCCUAAAUGAUUACUCAGUGAAAAAGGAGGUAAUAAUACCGAGACAACCAGAAGGUUUGCUUAGAAGCAGCAAUCCUUAAAAGAGUGCGUAAUAGCUCACUGGUUAAGUGUUGUUGCACCGAAAAUGAAUGGGACUAAGUAAUUCUGCCGAAUUCGUGGGAAAUUCUUAAUUAGUAAGAAUUAUCGGUAGGGGAGCGUUCUAUAGUAGGGUAAAGUAGAAAUGUAAAUUUCUGUGGACGAAAUAGAAGUGAGAAUGUUGGCUUGAGUAACGAAAACACUGGUGAGAAUCCAGUGCCCCGAAAACCUAAGGGUUCCUUUACAAGGCUCGUCCGUGAAGGUUAAGUCAGGUCCUAAGGUCAGGUCGAAAGACGUAGCCGAUGGAAAACAGGUUAAUAUUCCUGUACUUUUUUUAUGUUAUGACAAGGGACGAAGGAUGAAGACGUAGGUCUAGAUAAUGGAAUUCUGGUAAAAAUCUUCAAAGCAAUGAGAAUAUGAAGAAAAACAUAUUUAAGCUAAGAGAUGAUUUAAUUUUAUUUCUUUUUAUCUAAUAAAAAGAAAUAAAAUUCAACGACCUUUAUUCUUCCAAGAAAAGCUUGAAUCAUUUAUACAUAAGAAAAUCUGUACCCGAAACUGGCACAAGUAGGUAGGUAUAUUAUACUAAGGGGCUCGAGAGACUUCUCUCUAAGGAACUCGGCAAAAUGACUCCGUAACUUCGGGAUAAGGAGUGCCUCUUUUUAAGAAGAGGUUGCAGUGAAUAGGCCCAGGCGACUGUUUACCAAAAACACAGGUCUCCGCAAAAUCGUAAGGUGAUGUAUGGGGGCUGACGCCUGCCCAGUGCCGGAAGGUGAAAGAAGUUGGUGAAAGCUGACGACUGAAGUCCCGGUGAACGGCGGCCGUAACAAUGACGGUCCUAAGGUAGCGAAAUUCCUUGGCGGGUAAGUUCCGUCCUGCAUGAAUGGCGUAACGACUCCCCUACUGUCUCAAGCGCCGGCUCGGUGAAAUUGAAUUGCCCGUGAAGAUGCGGGCAUGUCGUGGCUAGACGGAAAGACCCUGUGCACCUUUACUAUAACCUUGCGUUGCUUUAGGCUUGUGAUUGCUCAGAAAAGGCGGGAGUUUGUGACAACAACUAAACACUAGUGAGAUACCGCCCUUUUGCAUGUCUAGGGUUUUUUGUAAGGCUGGUAGUUUGGCUGGGGUGGCCGCCUCCUAAAGAGUAACGGGGGUGCGCAAUGGUGAGCUCAACCCGAUUUUCGGGGUGAGAGCGUAAUGGUAUAAGCUCGCCUGACUGAAAGAUAUACAAAUCGAUCAGGAACGCAAGUUGGUCAUAGUGACCCGACGGUGCUGUGCGGAAAGGCCGUCGAUCAACGGAUAAAAGGUACGCCAGGGAUAACAGGCUAAUAACCCCUAAGAGACCAAAUCGCCGGGGUUGUUUGGCACCUCGAUGUCGGCUCAUCGCAGCUCGGAGCGGUAGUACGUUCCAAGAGUUGGGCUGUUCGCCCAUUAAAGCGGUACGUGAGCUGGGUUCAGAACGUCGUGAGACAGUUCGGUCCAUAUCCGGUAUAAACGUUAAAAUAUUGAGAGGAGCUUUUCAUAGUACGAGAGGACCUGAAAAGACAAACCAAUGGUGUACCAGUUCUCAUUCCAAUGAGACACGCUGGGUAGCUAAGUUUGGAGUGGAUAACUACUGAAAGCAUCUAAGUAGGAAGCCCACCUCAAGAUGAGUAUUUUUUAUUUUCUUAAAAGUUUCAGCAAGAUAAGCUGAUAGAUAGGUAGUGUGUGUAAG
rnacentral:rRNA from 1 species